CUUAUUUUUCAACUGAAAUUUAGUUGAACUGAUUAAGAUUUACAAUUAAGAUUAUUUUGAAUUAUAAUUUAUUUUUAAGAAUUAAAUUCUUAUAGUUUGUUAAUUUCUAUAAGUUCGAGUUGGUUUCUUACCUGUCGUUCAAUGAUGUUCAAUUCAUGAUUUGGAUAUAAAACGAGCUAAUUUAAGGAAUUAAACAUUGCUGUCUGUUAAUUGUUAACAAGAGGAAGUCUACUUAAUGUUGGUGAACCAAUCAAAGGAAAUGAUUAUUCAAUGUUGUGUGUCAAAGAGGCCUGACAAAAACAUGGACUCCAAUUGGUUAUUCAAUGAAGCCUUGUCCACCCUAAUCAUCAUCCUGUUUCUUUAAGAAUGUCUUCUCUUUCCUUUAAAUCUACAUGGUGACAGCAAUAAUGUUGUAAAAAUUAUGGUUUAAUUUACCGUAGAAUCAAUCAACAAAAAGAAAUCGAUGCAACUUAAAAGCGACAAUUCAAUCUUCAAGUGUAAAUGGAGGGAAGAAGAAGCAGAAGAAUCAAGCAAAGUGGAAAAAAGAAAAGAAUUGCUCUCUAUCAUUUUCUCCUAUUUUUAGUGCGAAAGGCAAGAUGGUUGAUGACAAGAAAAAAAAAGCCUUUUAACUUGUCUCUCGGUGUGUGAUGAGCAAGUAAUUAGGAGAAACAAAUAUAAUCCAGUGAAUGAAAAUCCUUCAACAAGUGUACACGAUGAUGUCAAAAGAUAGUCACAAAAAAAGAAGACAACAUAACAGAGGGAAAGAAACAGUGAAAGUAGUAAACUAAGUAAAUUUUACCUUCAUUUAGGUAAAUUAAUUAGCCUUUCAUGUUGAAAGUUCAUCCAUCUCUUCAACAGUCAAUAUUGAUAAAAAAAAAGUGAAUAUCAUGUGCUGCUUAUGACAAGACACAUUGAAAUCCUAUUAUCAAAAACUCGGAGGUUUUUACCAUCGGACCGGAUAAUGUGUCUCUUCCCCCUCUCUUCCUUUCUGGAGUAUCUCUCUUCAUAAUCAUCACUAUUGAAUCACUCAAUCCAAUAAAAGAGAGAAACAAAUUGGCCUUAAACUGAUUUAUAAGGAAACUCUAUCUCUCUCUCUCUCUCUAUUUGUAUAUUUAUUGAAUCAACAGGGUCUGUCAUCGGCUACAAUCAAUUCCUUUUUUAUUUUUCAUGAAAAAACGAAUGAUUCACAAUACUCACAAUGACAUCACUAAUUAACUUAACUAUACAAUCAACUUACUUCAAGUGUAUCUCCCAAUCAGUGAUAAUAUUUAAAAUAAUGAGCCCUCACUAACAAAGUUCCAAUAAUAAUAUACCUUUUACCCAAUCCCCAAUAUAUUAUUUUCCACUCCAAGUAUUUUCCCUCCUCAAUUCCUCAUCUAUCUUCCUACUCUUCACUAACAAUCACCAUUAAAAACUUAUUAAUUCAUCACUAAUCCGUUAUGUUUGAUCCGAUUUAACUAUAAUCCAAUGCUAAUCAUGAAUAUGAUUACUUAUCAUUACCAUUUCCAUUACUCACCAUCCACAAACAACUACAUCUUCCUAUUGCAUUUGAUUAUUGAUACAGUGGAAAAAAAAAUUGAUACCAAUUUACACACCAACAAAUUAAUCCACCAAUACCUUUCCAUCCUCAUCCAUCAUUCAACAAUCAUCAUCCUCUUCCUUUGAUAUAUAAUAAUUGUCUUCAUUUACAUUAUUGAAGAGAAAAAUUUCCCUCCAAGACAAAUUAAUAACAUAAGAUGAAAUUCAUUUCCCAUUCCAAUUUUUCUCAUAAAAAAUUGACGAAACAAAAGAUUCUCAUAUUUAAUACAAUCAAACCUUGAGAAUUUUCUUCAUCCCCAAUGUUUAUCAUCUAAUAUUCUUCAAGAUUUCAUGUUGACUAAUUUCAAUAAUUCCUUUUUGAAGAAACAUUCACUUUAACAGAAUACAAAAUUCAUCUUUUCCUUCAUCACUACCUCUAAUUCAAUUCAAUUAACUUUCUUUCUAAUAUAAAUAGAUUCUUGUUGCAAAUUAAACAAUUCAACUGCAAAUUGAAAUCACCAUGAAAACUCAGUUACAAUUUUGAACUUCCUAUUUGAUUGUUUUACUUUGUUAUUACAAUUCAAACCUGACCCCGGGCUCAAUCAGAUCGCUCAAAGUUAUACACUUUGUACAUAAAAAGAAAGUUACAAACAAUUAAGAAGAUUAAAUAUUUGCAGCAUUCUAAUGAAAUAACAGUUAACUGAAAAAUCUCUCAGUUUCCAAUUUAAAUUGUGAUUAAUUGAACAAUCUUUCAAACACUAAUUAGUUUGUAUUAAGAUGCAUAUUGAAACAAUCGUAACUGUGAAUAAGUUUAUUCACAAGUAUUAAUAGUGAUAUUACAUGAGAACAUGAGAACAUGAUGAAUUGUAAAAAUCGAUAGAUUUUCAUAAUAUUCAUGGUUAUGAAAACACCACUUUCCAUGAAAAUUGUUAUCCAAUUACAAUUGUAAUCGAUUAUUCAACAAUUUACACAACCGUCGAUUUACAUGUUCAACAACAAUUUAAUUCAACUGUUUGAAAAUGUUCAUCAGCAUUAAUUUAUUCUCAUUAAUGUUUUACAAAUGGAUCUCCCAAUGGCUGUAAAACUUGAGAAAAGAACAGGAAAAGGAAGUUGAAAGUUCAUCACUUGAGACUUUUUUUCUCUCAUCCUCUUAUUUAUCAUCCUUCUCUUAUCAAUUAUCACCAUUGGUUUGUAAGGAGAUGACGAAGAACAUGAAAUCAAUCUCUGGUCUGUAUCAUCAACAUUUGACCAUUUCUGUUGAGAUUGAAAUCUUAGAACAAUGUCUUCUUUAUCUCUCUCAUUCAUGUAACCAUAAAAUUUUCAAAUUUCUUUACUUUUUAUCCUCAUCACUUCUUAGUUUUCUUAUUAUUGCUUUGAUUUUCAACAGAAAUUUUCAUUAUUGAAUAAUCAUUUUUGUCUUAUGAUUAUCUUUAUACCUUUACAAAUUCUGGGAGAAACAAAAUUAGAUUCAUAUUACAUCGUGAAGAAGAUGAAGAUGAGAGAGAUGUAAAUGCUGAGAAUCAAUUUCAUCUCUAUUUUCAUCAUCAAACAUCCCUGCUCAUCUUUUUAAUACUUAACACUUCUUGUCAUC